UUUUGAGAAAUAUUGUAGAUUUAGGUUUCUGAUUUAGAAAUUCGGAUAACAAGAAUAUUUUUGGAUAGAUGAGUAUUCUUUAAGAAUUUUUCAUCAAUAUUUUGUAUUUUUAAAUAAUUUUUUUAAAAACUGGUAUUUUUGGAAAAUUUUCAUUUAUUAGAGAAGUAGUAUAUAUUUAAGUUUUUGAUUUAGAAAUUAGGAUAACAAAAGUAUUUAAGGAUAUAUGAGUAUUAUUUCAGAAUUUUUCAUCAAUGUGUUGUAUUUUUAAACAAAUUUCUUAAAAGCUGCUAUUUUUGAAAAGUUUUCAUCUAUUAGAGAAAGACUGUAGAUUUGAGCUUGUGAUUUAGAAAUUAGGAUGACAAGAAUAUUUGUGGAUAGUUUAUUAUUAUUCAGAGUUUUUCAUCAGUAUGUUGUAUUUUAAAAUAAUUUUUUAAAAACUGCUAUUUUUGGAAAGUUUUCAUUUAUUAGAGAAAUACUGUAAAUUAGAGUUUUGUGAUUUAGAAAUUAAGAUAACAAGAAUAUUUGUUGAUAAUUGAGUAUUCUUUCAGAAAUUUUCAUCAAUAUGUUGUAUUUUUAAAUAAUUUUCUAAUAAGUUGCUACUUUGGAAAGUUCUCAUUUAAUAGAGAAAUAUUUUAGAUUUGAGUUCAUGAUUUAGAAAUUAGCAUAACAAGAAUAUUUGUGGAUAUAUGAGUAUUCUUUCGGAGAUUUUCAUCAAUAGAUUGUAUUUUUAAAUAGUUUUCUUAAAAACUGUUAUUUUUGGAAAGUUUUCAUUAUUAGAGAAAUACUGUAGAUUUAGGUUUGUGAUUUAGAAAUUAGGAUAACAAAAAUAUUUUUGGAUAGAUGAGUAUUCUUUUGGAGUUUUUCAUCAAUAAAUUGUAUUUUUAAAUAGAAAGUUUUGAUUUUUUGAGAAAUGUUGUAGAUUUAGGUUUGUGAUUUAGAAAUUAGGAUAACAAAAAUAAUUUUGGAUAGAUGAGUAUUCUUUAUGAGUUUUUAAUCAGUAGGUUGUAUUUUUAAAUAAUUUUUCUUA
rnacentral:lncRNA from 1 species